AUACUCUGGUUUCUCUUUGGAUCAUAUAAAUCUUUCUCUUUUUACUAAAGAUUUCCAUGGAGAGGAACAAUUCUGAGUUUAUACUCAAUUUUUUGUUGUACUAUGCAGCUGUUAAG